GCCUGGCUAGCUCUGUUGAUAGAGCAUGAGACUCUUAAUCUCAGGGUCAUGGGUUCAAGCCCCAUGUUGGGUG
rnacentral:tRNA from 2 species